UGGCGAACGGGUGAGUAACACGUGAGUAACCUGCCCUUGACUCUGGGAUAACAGUUGGAAACAGCUGCUAAUACCGGAUAUGAACCCUUUUCGCAUGAUUUGGGUUGGAAAGCUCCGGCGGUCAGGGAUGGACUCGCGGCCUAUCAGCUUGUUGGUGAGGUAGUGGCUCACCAAGGCUUCGACGGGUAGCCGGCCUGAGAGGGCGACCGGCCACAGUGGGACUGAGAUACGGCCCAA
rnacentral:rRNA from 1 species